rnacentral:rRNA from 1 species
CAGCCGCCACGGGAAUACGAAGGGUGCAAGCGUUAAUCGGAAUUACUGGGAGUAAAGCGCGCGUAGGUGGUUUGGUAAGAUGGAUGUGAAAUCCCCGGGCUCAACCUGGGAACUGCAUCCAUAACUGCCUGACUAGAGUACGGUAGAGGGUGGUGGAAUUUCCUGUGUAGCGGUGAAAUGCGUAGAUAUAGGAAGGAACACCAGUGGCGAAGGCGACCACCUGGACUGAUACUGACACUGAGGUGCGAAAGCGUGGGGAGCAAACAGGAUUAGAUACCCCAGUAGUCCCUGUCUCUUAUAA